rnacentral:rRNA from 1 species
UACGGAGGAUGCGAGCGUUAUCCGGAUUUAUUGGGUUUAAAGGGUGCGUAGGCGGGCAUUUAAGCCGGCGGUCAAAUGUCGGGGCUCAACCCCGGCCUGCCGUCGGAACUGGGUGCCUUGAGUGGGCGAGAAGUAUGCGGAAUGCGUGGUGUAGCGGUGAAAUGCAUAGAUAUCACACAGAACACCGAUUGCGAAGGCAUCUCACGAAUCCGCGAUUGACGCUGAUGCACGAAAGCGUGGGUAUCAAACAGG